rnacentral:lncRNA from 1 species
AUCAAAAAGCUGCAAUUCUACAUAACACAAGCCCAGAAUUAACUUUAGAAAACAAAAAAUAACCCUCCUCCCAGGCCACAUUCAGUCACAUACUUCCCAAAUACAAUGGGAAGGCUGAAAGAAGGCUGGAGUAGAUGCCAACAGUCUCAGAGUUAGGACAUCUUUUCAAUUUGUCAUUGCUCAACGACAGUCAUUGAAAAGAACCAAGAACAAAUUAACCAUUCAUCUUAGAUGCAUCCACACCAAGAAAAGGCAUUCUGAGAUUUAACAAAACAUGUAGUCCAUCAACUUGCUUAUCCAGUUCUGGAGCUCCCUAACUCUUCCCAAAUUACUAAAUAAAGGAACACAGAAGCCAAAUCAUUUGUAUUUAUAGUACAUUUUCCAUCUCCACUCUAUAUAUAAUCAGCUACAUCAUACUAAAACUCAUUUUCAUUUAUGUCUGGGAAUCUUUUUUGUUAAUUAUCAUUAGAAUAAACAGCUACUGACUAGUUCAGAAAAAAGACCCCACAAUGUUCAUAUUCCUAUUCUAUUUUUUGUAAUGUGCAACUAUUCCAUAAGUUCUUUUUGUUUUCCCCUCAUUUUAAAACUCCCUCAACAAAAUUAGCAAUUCAAUUCUACCACAAAAUACAGUUUUAGAAAUGAAUAGGCAAUCUUUACAACAGUUUAAAUUUGCCCCCUGUCAAAGCCUAUUUACACAAUGCAAAUCCAAAAGACAAGUUCCAAUUACUGGCCAGAGCAGUGAUGAGCAAAGGGAAGACCUGGGUUUGAAGGCACAGUAUAAAUGUCAGAGAAAUGUGGGACUAAACCUUGAGCUGGUCAAGUUCAAAAUAUGAAAAAAAGAAUUACAUCUCCUUUCCUUAGCUUUUUGGGCUAAAAGAAGUAUUCAUAUUUCCAUUUCCAUUGAAGUGGUUUAAAAGAAAAACAAUGAGCAUUUAAUAAUUAUAAUAAAGUAUAAUAAAAAUAUACAUAUUCUUUACUAAAGAAGUGUUAAUGUGUAAUAUAAGUAAAGUUGUUCAUGUAACUAAUUUCAAAACAAACUUCCAGGAGUUCCCGUUGUGGCUCAGUGGUUAACGAAUCCAACUAGGAACGAUGAGGUUGCAGGUUUGAUUCCUGGCCUUGCUCAGUGGGUUAAGGAUCCAGCGUUGCCAUGAGCUGUAGUGUAGGUCAUAGAUGCAGCUCGGAUCCCAUGCUGAUGUGGCUGUGGGCCGCUGGCCUACACCAGAGCCACAGCAAUGCGGGAUCCUUAACCCACUGAGCAUGGCCAGGGAUCGAACCUGUAACCCCAUGGUUCCUAGUCGGAUUUGUUAACCACUGAGCCAUGACGGGAACUCCAAGAUUUUUUAAAUAAACCAGAAUCUAAAGCAUUUCCUCAGAAGCUUAUUUCAUUCAACUCGCUAUAGCCUAUAAUUAGUGGUUUCAAACCUCUUGGUUUUCUGAGGCACUUUUUACUUUUAUAAAUUGAAGGUCCCAAAGAGCUUUUAUUUGAGUUAUACUCAUUGGUAAUUACUAUAUCAGAAUUUAAAACUGAGAAAUUUAUAAAAUAUCAAUUAAUUUAAAAAUAUCAAUGAACUCGUGAUAUUCUUAUGAAAAAUAAUUAUAUUUUCCAAAACAAAACAGAAGUUUAAUAAGAAAGUGACACUUUCACAUGUUUGCAAAUCUCUUUAAUGUCUGGCUUAAUAGAAGACAG